rnacentral:rRNA from 1 species
ACUGUUCCGGCUGCUGGCACGCAGACGCGGUCUCCGGGGUGCGCACUUCCCACCGCCGGUAGGACGCCGCGACGGACGCGGGUCAAAGGGAACAAGCACGACUUUGAGUCCGGCAGUGGAGGUGACCUGCCCGUCUCUUCGGAGACGGCACGCGGGAGUUAUACCACGCCGUGCACGAAAAGUUCGUCACCCCGUCCAGGCCCCAUGGGCUUCUCCCGGUUGUCGGGAGGCCCGAACGAUGACGCCCUCCGGAAACGGAGCGGAGAACCCGCUGGGCAAGCUUGUCGUCUCCUGCUGUCCGGGUUGGUCCCGCGGCGGCGGGUUGGCCGGCGAGAAGCCUCUGCGAGCGGGGCUAUUCUCCCGCGGAGGCGCUAUCGUGGUUUGCGGCGAGUAGGUCGGAAAGUAAACCCAGCCGCGACCCGUUUGAAAACACGGAAGCCAAUGGAGUCUAACAUGUGGCGGCGAAGGCAAUGGGUGCUGCGCCGAAACGCCUAAUGGCGCAAUGAAACGUGAAGGGCCGCUAGCGGGUUUUUUUUGGCGUUGCGUUGCGAUCCCGGCCGCACAGGGGUCCGAUAAAGGGCGCAGCAACGGCCCGUCCCAGGCGCUCACACGUCGCCGGGGCGGAGCGAGAGCGCACACGUUGGCACCCGAAAGAUGGUGAACUAUGCCCGGGCAGGACGAGGCCAGAGGAAACUGCUGGUGGAGGUCCGAGAAGCGAUUCUGACGUGCAAAUCGAUCGUCCGAUCCGGGUAGAGGGGCGAAAGACCAAUCGAACCAUCUAGUAGGCUGGUUUUCCAGUCGCGAAGUUUCGCCUGCAGGAUACCUGGGGCGCUGCGAUUGGGAGAGGCAGUCACACGCCUGGUAAAGCGAAUGAUUAGAGGCAUUGGGGUCGAAACGUCCUCAACCUAUUCUCAAACUUUCAAUGGGUGUACGGGAGGCCUUCUGGGUUGAGGCCUCCCGCGCUGCGAUGAGAGUGGGCGCAAAGUGGGCGCCACUUUUGGUAAGCAGAACUGGCGCUGUGGGAUGAACCAAACGCCGGGGUAAGGCGCCCGAGUCGGGACGCUCAUGAGAACCCAUGAAGGGUGUUGGUUGCUUAAGACAGCAGGACGGUGGCCAUGGAAGUCGGAAUCCGCUAAGGAGUGUGUAACAACUCACCUGCCGAAGCAACUAGCCCCGAAAAUGGAUGGCGCUCUAGCGUCGCGCCUAUCCCCGGCCGUCGCUGGCAGAAAAGCACGAAAUGUGGGGGUGCUAAGCCGCGACGAGUAGGAGGGCCGCAGCGGUGUGCGUUGAAGGUGUCGGGCGUGAGCCCGCCUGGAGCCGCCGCUGGUGCAGAUCUUGGUGGUAGUAGCAAAUACUCAAGUGAGAACCUUGAGGACUGAAGUGGAGAAGGGUUCCAUGUGAACAGCAGUUGAACAUGGGUCAGUCGGUCCUUAGGGAAAGGAGAAAUCCUUUCAGAAGCGGGCGCGUUUGUGCAGCUCAGUCUGUGAUACGGAGACGCCCCGCUGCAACCAAAAGGGAAUCGGGUUAACAGUCCCGAACCCGGCUACGGAGAUCGGCGCUUCUUCGGAGCCCAGUGCGGCAACGCAAACCAGCUCGGAGACGCCGAUGGGAGCCCCGGGAAGAGUUUUCUUUUCUCUGUAAGGAGAUCGAGUCCCUGGAAUGGGUUCACCCCGAGAUAGGGACGGUGGCUCCGUAGAGCAGUGCGGCUCUUGCGCUGUCCGGUGCGCUCCUGUCGGCCCUUGAAAAUCCGAGUGAGGGAGUGUGAUUUUCGUGCCGGACCGUACCCACAUCCGCAGCAGGUCUCCAAGGUGAACAGCCUCUAGUCGAUAGACCAAUGUAGGUAAGGGAAGUCGGCAAAACGGAUCCGUAACCUUGGGAAAAGGAUUGGCUCUGAGGGCUGAGCCGGUCGGGCUGGGGUCCAGAAGCAGGAACGGCACUGCACCGGGACUGGGCGAGGCUCGCCGCCGUAAAAAGCGGUGCGGCCGAGCCCGGACCAGCGUCGGGACCUUCCUGUGGAAAGCCACAGCUGUGCAUUUUCCGUGGGCUUCGCGCCUGAGGUUCUUGCUUCGGCCGGCAGAAAACAGCCAACUCAGAACUGGCACGGACCCCGGGGGAAUCCGACUGUCUAAUUAAAACAAAGCAUUGCGAGGGCCGUUGAUCGGUGCUGACGCAAUGUGAUUUCUGCCCAGUGCUCUGAAUGUCAAAGUGAAGAAAUUCAAAAAAGCGCGGGUAAACGGCGGGAGUAACUAUGACUCUCUUGUGGUAGCCAAAUGCCUCGUCAUCUAAUUAGUGACGCGCAUGAAUGGAUUAACGAGAUUCCCACUGUCCCUAUCUAUAUAUGUCUGUGUUCACUAAAUAAUAUGUUCUUUUGUAUUUAGUGAAACUAGACAUAUAUAGCUUUAUAUUAUUAUUCUAAUUUCAAACAUAUACAUAAUGUAAGAGCCUGGGCAGUGGUGAGGAAGCCGUUAACAGGAUGACAGGAAAAUGAAAGUCAUUUAAGCGCGCCAGCUACUUGGCCUUCGUAUAAGGGUUCUUUUUCCGCAAACAGGGAGGGCUUUCGGCCCUGACCGCCCCAGUGCGGAAGCCAAGACCUGAGCAACAGGGGGGCACAUUGGGGACACUUUUGAUACUCUAAAUUCAAGUUAGAGAAAGUUCUGU